UUUGUCAUGGACUAUUUAACUUCUUUGAUACAACUCGUCAAUACUAACUCUGCCUUUAUGUCUCCUUUGUGUCUAUUCUUUCUCCAUAUAUAUAUAAAGAGUGAUUCCAAAGGCUCUCGUUUCGGUAGAGGUAUGUAUGUAUAUCUGAUUUCAUUGCCAUGCCAAGUCUCUCCAACCCUUUCCCACCUCCCUAUAUAUAUAUAUACACCUCCAUCUCUUGGGUUUUCUUGGAGAUAAUUGGUAAGCAAUUGAUUAAUGAGGCAUGAUGAGCAGAUAUCAGGCGAGGCAGUUGGAGAAGUGACCAUAGUUUCUGACAUGCAUGAAAGGAAAGCUGAAAUGGCUCGUAGGGCCGAUGCUUUCAUAGCUCUUCCUGGUAUUCAUCUUUCAUCCUCAUCCCACUUCCUGUUAAUGUUUCAUGCUCAUCCCAAUUUUUUUUUUUAAAAAAAUUUUCAAUAUUUUUCAAGCCCUUUUCUUUACGAAAAAGUUAAACGGUUUGCGAUUGAGGGUGUCAUAUCUAAUUCCCGUUAUGAUCCUAAAUUGAUUGAGAAUUUCGGAAUUUUUUUUUGAACGAGUGAAUUGAUCAAACUUAUUUGUUAACUUAACUAGCUUGGAACAAUAAAAAAAAAAAGAAAAAAAACCUACUUUAUAAGCAUAUGCAUAUGCUAUAUAGUAUUAAUAACUUGAUAAAAAAAAAUUGCUGAUUUUCUGUUUUGGGUGAUACUAAUGAAGGAGGGUACGGAACAAUGGAGGAGCUGCUUGAGAUAAUAUCAUGGUCGCAGCUUGGAAUUCAUGAUAAACCGGUACGCAUGUUUCAUGUUCCAACACUUUGGCAUCAUUCUUGAGGGCCAUUUUGAGCUAAUAUUUCUGCUAAUCUUUCAUUUGAGAUUAAUGAUUAAUUGGACCACAUCACUUUAUAAUCCAACCUACCCUCCAAUGCAUAGAAAAAUUGGAGAAAAUGCAUUUGAUAAACGUAGAAUGUCUCUAUAUAUGGGAAGGAGGAAUAUAGAGUAAUUCCAUUCUAAUAGUGUCAAUUUGCUAUUUUUGUCUUUUAGGACUUUUUUAGUGAUUCAUUUUGAUGCUUAUUAUUUACAACUAACAGCUUCUAUAGCCUUUUUUUUUUAAAAAAAAAAAAGAAAGGGAAUAACUUCUAUGACAUUUAAAUUAAUCUUCAUUGCUUCCAACUUCCUUUUAUUAGAACAAAACAAUGAACAAUUUCUCCCAAGAGUCAAAAAAAAAAAAUCAAAGGUCAAAAUUUUAGUUUAAGAUUCAUAUUUGGCUUUUUUCUAAUGUUUUGUAGAAUUUUGUAAAUAAUGUUUGCUUGGUGUUGCCGGCUAUAUAAUAUAACUCUAGGGCCUUAUGGAGGAUUAAUGCUUAAAAUGAUGUAACUUGUCAAGUUGAAUGGAUAUUUCAAGUUUUAGCUCCUUAGUUCUUUAACUAGAGUAAUUAACAAAGUUUGUAAUGCUUUAGAAAUAGUGCAUCAAUUCUUCAUUCCAACCUGGUUAACACUCUUCAAUUAUCAAAUUCCCACUUUGAUCUUUGAAUUUCAAAAUUGGACACUUUAGUCUAUUAACUAUAAAAUCCAUUCCACUUAAGUAAGACCUUUGGGGAAGUGGGAUAGAUUUUAUACUUAAGUCAAAAUAUUUUAGGGACUAAAGUGAGAUAACUUUUAUAAUUUUGGGACUAAAAUUGGAUAUGUGUUAUAUUUUAAGGACUAAAGUAAAACAGAUUUAAUAGUUUAUGGACUAAAGUAUCUCGUUUCGAAAUUUGAAGACCAAAUAGAAAUUCGAGUAUAGUUGGAGGGUGUAAAGUAAAAUUGAUUCUUCCAACACUGGGGAACAGUGCAAUCAAGCAUCAAAAUUCGCGCGUUUUAGCAAAGAAACCUGGUACUACGAUUUCGUUUCGGUAAUACUCCGCUAGCCCAUUUUGAUAGUCUUAAUUUUUUUUAUACAAUUUAAGAAAAAGUAGUUAAUUUUGUUGGAACAAUAAAUUUAGUUUGUUAUUUUUCUAAAAUACUCUUACAUUAAAUAAAGUACAACUUUAUAUUAACUAUUCAUGGAAACUUGAAUUGAUGAUUAAGAAAGAAUUAAUCUCAUUUUACAUUAUUUCACAUUUUGGCUUGAAAGAACAACAAAGCUGGCUUUUCAUAUAUCAAUAUGUUUUGGAAAAUCUAAAUGUAUUAAAUGGGGUAGAUUAACAAUCUAUAUUAAAUAAGGUAGUUUAUACUAAUAACAACCUACGUACAUUGAAUAAGGGUAUUUUAGAGAAAUUAAAAAAUAACUACAUUUUUCAAUUGGAAAGUGGACUACAAUUUGGAACAGACGAAAAAGGAAAACAUGACUAUCAAAGUGGGAUCGGAGAGAGUACCAUGCAUUCCUUUUAUUGGUCCAAGUACCUAAAAGCCUAAGGGCUUGUUUCCAACUAAUUCUAAUUCUGUAAAAGUUGAUUUUCUAGAACUGAUUUUUAAAAAUCAAAUUGUUUAGAGUAAGUCAUGUGUUCUCGUCUAUAGUUAGAAAAUGUAUUUUUCUAAAAGCAUAGACGUUCUUAAACAAAGUUGUAAAGCUCAUUUUGACAAAAAAAGAAGACCAAAUGACACUUAUAAACUACACAAGUGACUUUUAUGUUAAUUAAAUAAUUUUUUAUAUAAUUGGGCAAGAAAAUGGAGAAUAGGGACAAAUUAAUAAUAUGAAUCUAGAGCUGCGAUUGUGAAUAGGAAGAAAUGGUGAGAGACAUGUGGCAAAAAAAGAAUUAUAUAGUAAUCUUCAAGUAGAUUAGUAGUUAUGUCAAAAUUUAAAAGAUAUUUUUGUUUAUAUGAAAAAGUAGGCCAGAAUCAACAUCUAAAAGCAACUUACGACAUGCUUCUGAUUUUCAGAUUUUUUGGACUCGAAAAAUCUAAAAUUAGAUUUUUUAAAUCAGUUGAGAACGCAUCAAAAUUGUUUUUUGAAAAUCAAAAACUAAAAUCAGUUGAGAACAUGCCCUAAAACUAUAAUAGACGUGACCAAAUCUCCAGCAGGGUUUUUGCCUCCCAAUGCAAACCUAUCCUUCAAGUAUUAACUUUACUCUUUUUGGUUGAUAAGCAUCUUCCAAAGUGGCAAGUAUUACGUAAUUCCCAUAACAGUAGUCCUGUUCGAUUGCUAUUAAUUUUGUAAAACUUAUUUCAUAUCGAAGUGAGUCUUGAAAAUAAUAAUCUUCGGUAUGAUAUGAUACAUACGUACGUAGAUACAUACAUACAUAUAUAUAUGUUUGUCAUUUUACAGCUUAAGUGAGCGUGACAGUUGAUUUUGUUAGGCCCUCUUGACUCUAUUGACUCAUUAUAUAUGCACACACAAUCACAUACAAAAGUAUGCAUAUUUGCAAUAUAACAAGAAAAAUUGAGGUCAGAAGGCUUCAUGUUUAGUUAGUAGUUUAGACAUAUGGCCUAGGCAUGUGUGUACCAAAUGGUCACAAGAGAUUGAGGUUUAAGUAAUUGCCCAUGACCUAACAUGUUAGUUGAAACAAACUAAACGAUUCUGCUUCUUCAAUAAUCCAAUGUAAAACUUGAUGAAGAAUUUUAUGAUGGCAUUCAUGAGGCCAUGAUGUUGUGUGCUUUAAUUCAUGAGGUCAGUUGAGAAUUUUGAUGUAAAAAACUCAGGUAGCUGUCCUUGACUUUUCUUCUACCAUUAUAUUUAUGUUUUGGUAUGGCGAGUAUUUUAUAGUUUAUACUACUAUUUGGGUAUAGUAGCAAUAACUAAUUAACGUAUACCAUCUAAUAAGAGGGAUUAAUAGAAUUGGUCGUAUUGAAUCUAAAGUAAUCAAGAAAGUUUAGAUGGAAACUUAAACUCAUUAGUUUGCCACUUCACAUAAUGCUUAUGAUCUAACCACUAACUGGGAAUGCAAUGGUAUCUGAUAUGCAUGCUACAUUAUCUCAAUUCGAAUUUAAGCAUCAAAUUUUACAUAUAUAACAUGCAUCUGAACCCGUUGAUAUAUUUACUGACAGUGCAUAAAACGUUUACUUCUGAAAUUUUCCAUCAAAGUUGCUCAAGGGAAAUGAUAUCAAUGGUAAUUAACCAAGCACUAUUGCAUUCAUGUAUUAGAAAUGGGACAAUGAAAGCAAGAAAUCAUCAAGUGGUGUAUACAGAUUGCAGACUCACCUGGAAACAUGAUCAUUGAGACAUAUACAGCUACUGAUCCCUGGGUCCAGCUCUCUUGCCAAUGGCAUCAUCACCUUUAACACGAUCAAAUGGUUAAUAGGCUUGGCUGCUGACAAUAUUUUCGAGUCUAGAAUCCAAACUUGGAGCUUCAGAAAAUUUUUCCACCACCGGAAGCAGCUACGUUUGUCCCUGCACAAGAAAUAUAUGGUGGGCUUAUACCUAAAAAGUUUGAAGAUUUGUCUAACUACCCAUAAAAGCACGGAGCAUUUAUAUGUAGCAGGAGUAUAUAUAUCUACUUCCAAUUGCAUUGCAUGAUUUUUUGUUUUGGCUUUUGAUUGACCGGUAGUUUCCCAGUAUCUUUACCGGAUUGCUGUUGAAGAAAUUAGUAUGGCAAAGGUGGACUAACCGAACGUUCUAACCCCCAAGGCUACCGAUCCAUACGACAAAUAAGUUACCAACCUGUCUUUGAUGUACAUAUGCAUGCCCUAUCGGAACAGGUCUUCCAAUUAGUUUCAAAGCAUUAACUCUUGUGGAGAAUUGAUGGUGGAAAUUGUAGUCUAUCUCUGUUCAAUAUCUAGACUUCUAGUUUGUCAAAAAAAAAAAAAAAAAAUCUAGACUUCUAAUUAAAUUAUCAUCAUUGUACACAAAAUACUUUGAGAUGUAUGCUAAUUCUUCCAUUUUGUGACUAUACAAAGAUAGAGGAGUAAACGAAUCUAAUCAACUCGAAUACCCUAGUAUUUAAACUUAUUUGAUUAUUUUAACAAGAUUGAAAUUUUGUUAAGUUUUACUUGUUUAGUUGUUGAAUCGAGUUUGAACGAGUUCUUUUUUGAGUUUGAAAGUUAUCGAACACAAAAAAAUAAAGAGUUCAAUGCUGACUUGAAACUCUUAUCAAUUCGAAUUCGAUUCGAAUACGGAAUAGUUUGAUUUACCUUUCGGUCGUGCAAAAAUGUAUGAACGACAUUCGACGCGUUCAACAAGCUACAUCGGUAUACUUGUGGUACUAAACAGUACUAGGAAUAUACGUAUGGUACCCAACAAAACAACAUCCGAUACUCAUUACUUCUAGUGGAUGAAAAUUUCCCUUCAAGCAUUGAGAAUUUUCCUUGGGUUUUUAUAAGUCGCUGAUAAUGAUAUACAUUGAAUACGAAAAACGUUCAUAUCAUGCUUCUUAGUCAUUGUCUUUAGUAUUCUAAACAACGAGCUCAUUUCUUUUUCCUUUUUUGUCUGGGGAGGAAAGGGGAGGGGGCGCAAAUUCAAUUAAAGAGUUAUAAAAACAAGAGUAUUUUAGCUGUAAAAAGAAAUUGACAGAUUCCAUAUCUUAAGGUUUUAAUUCCAAAAAACCCCAUUGACAUACAUUUAUUUGUCUUUCAAUAUUUUCUCAAUGAAGUCAAGAAGCCCAAAUGAAUAUCAAGUUGUGAAUGAAAUAUUCAUGUGUGCCAUUGAUGGAAAAAAAAAAGAAUUAGAGAUGGUUUUGAAAAUUCUUUUUCUCCUAACAACGGGUUUUAUGCACAGAAAAUUAAUGUUAUCACUAAUCAUCCAAAAAAAAAAAAAAAGGCAACCAAAAAGAGAAUGAAUCCCAAAUGUCUUUUACAUUUUGUCAAAACUUUUGUUGUGAAUAGUGGGCAUAAGGAUAUAGAAUUUUGAACAAAUUUUCAGGUAUUGAAUUUCUUAGUUACCAAAUUAUUACAUAGAUACUUGACAUUAAUUUCAGAGCCAAAAGGCGAAGAAAAAAAGUGCAGAAACUCGCAAAGUUGGAUGAUCGGUUGACCACAAAAAUCAACUUCGGCCAUGUUAGCUAAACGAAGCGAUGGGAUUCUAGUAAAAAAAAUAAAAUGCACAAUUUCGAUUUUACCAUUUUAGUUGACAUUACAAAAUAGAGAAAUUCUAACACCCUUUUAAGAAUCACACCUUCUGCAUAAAUUCUCCGUUGGAUGGUGAAAUAAUUAUUUUGGACCCUUAUAUUAUUUUGAAAUAAUUAUUUAAAAUUGUAACAACGAUCGACAUUGAAAAAUAGAAAUUGGGAAAAUGAUUCCUUGAAGAGACCAUAGAAUUUUUCAACAAACUAUAUAAAUAUGUGUUUGAGGAAUGAUAGUAGGCAAGAUUGAAAAUUGAGCCCGUUUAAUAUGGCAUAACAUCUGAAAAUAAUUACUCCAUAGAGAAGGAUCGAUGAACUACUAAUAUAACUACUUCACCUAAAAUGUUUUGCCUCCACCACUGCUAAAGCUUGUAUUGUAAACCCAAUUAUGCCAAUCAAUGAUAUAGCAAAACAAUUGUUCAAAAAAGAAAAAAAAAAAAGAUUCAAUAGCCCUUGAACCAUUCAGAUGUAAAGGUUCCAGAAACUUGUACUGUAAGAUUGAAGAAUGCUCAUAAUCAUAUUGUGCACGAAUAAAUUUUAUACGGUGAUGAUGGGAUUGCUUUAUCCUUUUGCCUCUACUUUUUUUUUUUUUUCACUCUGGCAAACCGAUCCUGCGACAUUUGUACUUAAUGAUAUUUCAUAUCAGUUUCAAGAAAAAACGUGUUGCUGCAUGUUAUUUCACAUCAUUCCGUAAUUUGGUUUGAGGGAUUCCUCAUUCCAUGAUCCAUCUUCUUCUACACCUUCCUACAGUUGAUGCAUUUAUUGUUGAGUGUUCUCCUAAUAGAUCCCCAACCAAAAAGCAUGUCGCAGUUUUAUGGUUAGAAGUCAUUCUGUCGAUUAGCAUUUUAUUGAUAGAAUGUUUUUAUUUGCCUGUUUGUGAAUCUCUUAUUUUUUUUUAGGCUUUAGCAUAGUGAACUCAAUGUGCUACACACACACAUGUGUGUGUUGAACUCUCAUUCCAGGUUCUUUCGCUGAAUAAGCUCUGUAGGUGUUUUUGAGUUGAUCAAGAUGGUAGAUUUGAUAUUACGCCUUCUUAUUAAUCUUGAUUCGAAUCUUACCUGUGACAUCUGCCCGUCACACAGAGUUUGUCUAGCAUGUCUUAUUCUCCGUGUGAUUGGUGGUUGGUGGACUAUUGCUCUUUGUAAUUGGUGGAUUAUUGCACGGGACGGAAUGUAACGCGGGUUCUCUUGUUAAAAAAAAAGAAGCUCCAUAAUGUUAUUGUAUCUAGAAUCAAUCCUGUUCAUCUUUCAUAGUGACACUCAAUAUGUACACUCAUGGAUUAAAGAAAUGAAAGAUGAAAGUAAAGGAAACUUGGCACACACUUGAACAGGUACACAUGGCGAUCCCUAAUCGAUCAAUCAUGCUAUGGCAUGUGAUCAACGAAAUUAAGCAGUAGAAAUGAGAAAGAGAUUACGUACUCAAUUUAACUACAAUUAUUUUGCCUACAAGAAGGAACCAUCUAGAUAUGGUCAAUCAGUAAUUCGACUUUAAAAGUGUUUUGAUACAAGAAAUUUUUUUUUUCCCGUUCCUUUUUGGGUUUGAAAAUCCAGGAACAAAACUUGGUGCGUAGGAACAGUGAUCUGCAUUCUAGUAUUGUCCACCUCAAUUUGACUUUUCUGGGUUUGAGGUGUGACAACUAACACUCCAAGUGCUUCUAUUCGUUGCCGUGAGCUACAGCAAUUUGUCCUUUUAGUUGGAGGUGUGACGAUUGGAUGUACCAUUUUGUCCUUAUUGAAUGGCUUCACUUUGACGGACGAAGCAGUAGCACUAAAGCUGGCUGUGAGCAAAGCAACCACUUUGCAACUAAGGAAAGUGCAAUUCCAAGUAACUCCUCAACCACAUCCGAACUCAGAAGGCAAGUGAUAUUAGAGUAGUUACGCUGGUGGAAGAUAUUGUUCAAUUGAAAGAGUUGUCUCAUAUGUGCUCCUUUUGUCUAGUUAAUAGUGAUAAGAAUCAUCUAAACUCUAGGAUUAGCAUAUAUGCCUUAGGCAUCACAAUUGAUGAGGAACUCUUGUUUCCUCGGUAUCAAGCUCACUAAUUUGUAAAAUUAACUCGAGCCUUUGCUCGUACUUGUAUAUGUUUUGGAAGUAAUAUAAUCAAACAUCGUUUCGAAAAAAAAAAAGAAUGGCUUCACUUUCACAAAAAAUAAUAAUAAUAAUAAUAAUGGCUUCACAGAACCAUCUAUUGCAUCAGAAAUCAGUCACUUGUCACCAUUGGUGCAUUGUCAUUUGGCACACCGUCCAUCAGUGUAACACGUUAGCUACAUCCUUCAGCAAUUUUGUCAAAAACCAUAAGAUGUAAUUCACUUUUAACAUAAAUUAAAUAUAGAAUAAAUUUUUAUGAAUUCCAUAUGUAACGUUAAAAAUGAUGUACAUAUGAUGAUAUGAACCUUACACUCUUUUUGAUCAAUCUUUGACGUUAACUAUUCAAGACCGGUCAUUCUCACUGACGACCGUUCUUGCUCCGCGUCUUGAUGGGCAGCAAGUUUCAGUCUCUUGUCAAGGACAUGACUACCGUGUAAUGUUGCACUGCCACAUUCUUCUGAGAAGAGAAAGCAAUCAUAGGACUUCUUGUUUUAGGGUAGCAAUUAGAGGCUUGCAGUAGCUGGUAAACUACUUUGCAAAGAAUAAUUAUGUCAUAGGUGUUUCUUUGCAUCAAUUAGGAUCCAAAAUUGAGUGUCGACCAUCAAUUGGAGUUUGGAAGAUACGGAUCAAUGUUAAUUGUUGUUCCAUUAUGUGCAACCAAGUGGACAACUACUAUAAAAUAAAAUAUAUAUAUUGCAAACGAAUGAGAUUGAUCAUCAAGCUUGUUUGGCCAUGGUAACAUCAUGAUCUCCAAUGCACGCGUGGGACUUAAAUUUUAAUAUUUCUUAGUGCAUUGCCUUAUUCUCAUAUCAUAAUUGAGAAAGUCGGCACCAUUUUUUUAAUGGAGAAAAGGCUAAAUUCUUGGAUGUUAUUGCAUUAAUAUUAUAUGAAAUGUGAGCCCUUUUCUUAUCUGAUUCUAAUAUUCAGGACAAAUAUUAUAUGGUAUAUGAUUCGAUUAGACACUUAUAUUAUGGUAACUUGUAUCUUCAUUUUCAAUGAUUAGAGCUGACUAUUACAAAAGCAUAAGAAAAUAUUCGUAGUUAUCAUUGUUUCCAUAUUUGUGGCUUCUUUACUGCCAAUUUGAGGGUGCCUUGGCGAUUAUGUAUGUAGUCAAUCGCAGACGGAAUCCUCUAUCCAUUAUGUUUGUCCACUUUCCUAUCUAAUAGAAAAUUACAUAGUUCCACUUACUAAUACUGCUAAUGUGGCACAUAAUAUUGGAUGCAUAUUUAGGGAAUGUUUGAUAAAUGGGUUUCAAAUUCAAUUUUAAUAUGUACGACCUACUUUCUGAAUCAACAUGACCGCAUGUAACUGCAACUCUAACAAGUUCAAGGAUUCGUCCUCAAAUGUUUGCCUAAUCUCAUCUGAAUCAUGCGGUGUGGAAUUUUAAAGUAGAAGACUAUGAGUACAAUUGGGCAUAAACAAACAUCAUUUAUGGAUAUAAUUGAAUUUAAAACCCAUUUACCAAAUACCCCCUAAAUAUGCAUUCAAUGAUAUGUGCUACAUCAGCAGUAUUAGUAUGUGAAACUACGUAGUUUUAUAUUAGACAAGAAAGUGAACAGAUAUAAUGGACAGAAGAUCCCGUCUGAGUCAGUCGACACCUUUCAAAAAUUUGGGUGGGAUGUUUUUAAGUUCCAUAAUGAUUUAAGCUUUUCGAUCUGGUAUAUAAGAUAAGGAAUGUCAAAACUUUUAAUACCUUGUACAUGCAGAACAAGUCUGCUUAUAUAGAUGUUGUUUUUUUCUUUUUGAAGUUUUCAUAUAGAAAGAAGGUAGGAUUCAGGAGCAGAGAAAAUCAAGUUGGUUUUGAACAAAUAUGUGAUGUUAACACAAAAUAUACCAAUUUUUUCCUUAUGAAACAUUAGAAAUAUAGGGGAUGAAGUGGACAAAAAAUCAUUGUUCUCCACAAAUUGACUGCAUAUAUAGGUUCAAUGUAGCUACCCUCUUCUGCUGGUUGAAUGGCUGCUGGAUACAUUGGCAAAGUCCUCCCUUUCUAUAUGCUUUAUUGUACAAAAGGACUUGGAAUUCUUGAGGGGAUACGAAUCUGUUCCAAAAUCCAAGAAGGUGAGCAGUACUGGUUUUGGGUGCACCCACCAAACCAAUUGGCCACGCAGAAAGGAAAGCAAAGAUUGAACAGGAAAAGUGAGAAUCUUCUUCUUCUUUGACUUGAAAAAAAAAUGAUAAUUAAUCACAGCAAAAGGCAUUAUUAUUCACAAAUGCGCCACGAACUUCAGUAAUUGUCACUUGUCAUGCAAAGUCUUUCUUAACAGUAGCCAUCAAUUAUAAGAAAGGCAUUUGUGACCUGACCUAAGGAGUUUCUUUAGCGGCAACUAGACAGUGGAAAUGUGUGUUUUCCCCCCUUUUUUGGGAUGUGCCUAAUUUCCAAAUUUAAUUAUUUGAACUGCUAAAAUUUGAUGUCCUUCUUAAACAACUGAGUGUACUAAUCAUGAUUAUGCACUAUCAGAAUUAAUUAAUUGUCAUAUCAAAGUAACAAAAUGAGAUGCGAAACCACACUAUUAUAUCUAUGGCUAAAAUGAGAUGAGGGACAAUUGUAUAUAAAGACACCUUUUCCCUGCAUCAUCAUGUUCGUUUUUAUUUCUUUCUGUUUUCUUGUUUGGUCAAAUGGAGGCUGAAGCUGGUUAAUUACAUAAGGUCAUGACUGAGCACAAUCAUUAACCCUAUUAUGAUUCUCGUUAGGCAAGAAUCAAGCCUAAUGUGGCUCGAUUUAGACCACUGUCCCUAGCUGCAUAACAUGGUCCCUAUAAAAUACUAUGUACAUUGUGGUAAAGUAACCAAACAAUACAUGGAUAUUGACCAUUGAGCGACAAGUUUCUUUCAGAAUCAAGAUUUCUUAGUGCUUUUUUUUUUUUUUUUGUUUUCUGGGGAGACGUCCGACAUGGGCAAGUUCAAGAAGGUUUGCGUCUUCUGCGGAAGUAAUUCAGGGUACAGAAAGAUAUUCAGCGAUGCAGCCCUUGAUCUUGGAAAAGAAUUGGUUUGUUGCCUCUCUCUCUCUCUCCUCCCUUGCUCUUUUUUUGUUUCUGCUCUUUUACAAAGAUAUAUGGAUAGAGGAGCUGGCUUUGGUUUAGUCAUUCAACAUCAACUGAUGGAGAUGGUACAAAAUAGGUGCAAAGAAAGGUAGACCUAAUCUACGGAGGAGGGAGCAUUGGUCUGAUGGGAUUGGUUUCCCAAACAGUAUAUGAUGGUGGAUGCAAUGUUCUAGGGUAUACAUGCCAAAUUUACUCAAUUCAUUCAGAGUUUAAACUUGAAUCAAAUCAAUUGUAUUUGUCAUGGACUAUUUAACUUCUUUGAUACAACUCGUCAAUACUAACUCUGCCUUUAUGUCUCCUUUGUGUCUAUUCUUUCUCCAUAUAUAUAUAAAGAGUGAUUCCAAAGGCUCUCGUUUCGGUAGAGGUAUGUAUGUAUAUCUGAUUUCAUUGCCAUGCCAAGUCUCUCCAACCCUUUCCCACCUCCCUAUAUAUAUAUAUACACCUCCAUCUCUUGGGUUUUCUUGGAGAUAAUUGGUAAGCAAUUGAUUAAUGAGGCAUGAUGAGCAGAUAUCAGGCGAGGCAGUUGGAGAAGUGACCAUAGUUUCUGACAUGCAUGAAAGGAAAGCUG
rnacentral:lncRNA from 1 species